UACGUAGGCAGCGAGCGUUGUUCGGAGUUACUGGGCGUAAAGGGUGUGUAGGCGGUCCUGUAAGUCUGGUGUGAAAUCUCCCGGCUCAACUGGGAGGGUGCGCCGGAAACUGCAGGGCUAGAGUGCGGGAUGGGAGAGUAGAAUUCCUGGUGUAGCGGUGAAAUGCUGUAGAUAUCAGGAGGAACACCGGCGGCGGAAGGCGGCGACCUGGACGGAUACUGACGCUCAGAAUGCGGAAAGCGUGGGUAGCAAACGG
rnacentral:rRNA from 1 species